UAGGGAAUCUUCGGCAAUGGGGGGAACCCUGACCGAGCAACGCCGCGUGAGUGAAGAAGGUUUUCGGAUCGUAAAGCUCUGUUGUUAAGGAAGAACGAGUGUGAGAAUGGAAAGUUCAUACUGUGACGGUACUUAACCAGAAAGGGACGGCUAACUACGUGCCAGCAGCCGCGGUAAUACGUAGGUCCCGAGCGUUGUCCGGAUUUAUUGGGCGUAAAGCGAGCGCAGGCGGUUAGAUAAGUCUGAAGUUAAAGGCAGUGGCUCAACCAUUGUAGGCUAUGGAAACUGUUUAACUUGAGUGCAGAAGGGGAGAGUGGAAUUCCAUGUGUAGCGGUGAAAUGCGUAGAUAUAUGGAGGAACACCGGUGGCGAAAGCGGCUCUCUAGUCUGUAACUGACGCUGAUGCUCGAAAGCGUGGGGAGCGAACAGG
rnacentral:rRNA from 1 species